GAAGGCCUUCUACUCCACCUUAUCUUCUUACAAACUUCUAGGCCUCCUUCAAGCCUCAGCUGACACAGGGCCUCCUCCGUGCAGCCUUCCCGGACUCCUCGAUGGCGAUGCAGAAGCAUCUACAAACCUGGAAGGACUGUUGAGGGGAUCCAGCGAGACUGUGUGCAGGAAGACCUUAGCUCAGAACUGCCCAGAGGAGAAUCCCCUACAAGUGGUAGCUGGUGGUGUCCCUACCUGUCUUUCCUGAGCUCCUCUGUGGGACUGGCAGGCUGCAGGCCUGGAUGCCCUCAGGAGCACAGAGGAUGCUGUCUGGUGGAGAAACGAAGACCCCGAGACUCUGACUCAGAAUGACUCCGGACACCAGACCCAAAAUGUGAAGGAGCCUUAGGAACACCUCAGCCAAUUCACUUGAUUGAUCCUCUCCUUUUAAAAGUUGUCAUAGAGCAGCAGAGGAUAAAAAUCUACAUUUGAAUAAGUCUAACAGAGUUCUCUCAAUAAGUAUUAAAAGCUCUAAGCGAGAAGAAUCACAUUGUCAGGAAUUCAUUGAAGGUUUUUGUUUGUUUGUUUGUUUGUUUCUCCCUCAGUGGUAUGUAAAAUACCGUUUCUUGCAAUUGACAAUCUUUUAGAGACUAAGAAACCCAAGAAAAUGUUGGCAAGAACGUAGUACUCAUAAUGACCAGGGCUUGAGCAUUUAUGCUGUGAGCAGACCCUGGGCUCGGUGCUUCUCCGUCUCUUCCCAGUAACCUUUAUGUAGCUGUUACUGUCUUCACUGUACAGGUGAAGAAAUUGAGGCAUGAAAAGGAAGCUAACUUGUCGAAAGUAGUAACUCGUAUAUGUUAACAUUGCAUUUUUUUUUCCAUUUCCAUUUUUAUUCUGAAACUAUUUCAAAAUACAGAGUGUUAAA